GUUAGCUGAGAAUUGGGUAAACAUUUAAAUUGUUCAAAUUUACAAAAUUAAAGUUUUCGUCUGUAUAUGAAAAUAAAAAAGCGAAAGUAAAAUUGUGUCACAAACUUAUGUAGACAAAGUUUGCGAGUAGUAAGCUAUAAAUAAACGAACAAACAAAGAUUUGAACAUACCAAAUUGCGCUGUUGCGUGUACCAUGUCAUAUUAUCAAUAUUUCGAUGAGUUACCAAUGGAAUGAGGAAAUUAAUAUGCCCCCAUCCAAUGGUGAAGGGUAUAAAAAUGUUUUACUAUGCAACGCCAUAUUUUACAUCGCCAAUACAUUCACCUCCAAAACUAAUGUGGUUUCUUUAUUGUCCGCCUCUCGAGAGCCGUCGAGCAAGCGACUGAAAACAUGGGUCUUGAAUGGUGGCUCUUCAUAAAACCAUUAACACCCACUGGCCACAUUGGCAACCGAGCGACGGAAUCCCAGGACUGACUAGAGUUCGUCAGAGAGAACCAAAAAAAAAAAAACUCACUUAGACGGUGAAAUCUGUGUUGGAACGAGUUUCUGGUGUAAAAAUAUAAAUUUGCUUUUAUGCUCCUUUGGUAAUGUUUUAAUAAAAAGAGCACUGCUCAUGGA